rnacentral:pre_miRNA from 16 species
CCACUGGAUGCGUCGAAUAACAAAAUCGAGUGUUCUUACUUUGAAGUAUAACUGAUUUUGUAUGAGACGCAUUCCAGUGGC